rfam:Ovis aries breed Texel chromosome 2, whole genome shotgun sequence.
UCCCUAGUGGCUCAGCUGGUAAAGAAUCUGCCUACAAUGCAGGAGAUCCAGGUUCAAUCCCUGGCUGGGGAA